rnacentral:rRNA from 1 species
UAGGGAAUCUUCCACAAUGGACGCAAGUCUGAUGGAGCAACGCCGCGUGAGUGAAGAAGGUCUUCGGAUCGUAAAGCUCUGUUGUUGGUGAAGAAGGAUAGAGGCAGUAACUGGUCUUUAUUUGACGGUAAUCAACCAGAAAGUCACGGCUAACUACGUGCCAGCAGCCGCGGUAAUACGUAGGUGGCAAGCGUUGUCCGGAUUUAUUGGGCGUAAAGCGAGCGCAGGCGGAAUGAUAAGUCUGAUGUGAAAGCCCACGGCUCAACCGUGGAACUGCAUCGGAAACUGUCAUUCUUGAGUGCAGAAGAGGAGAGUGGAACUCCACGUGUAGCGGUGGAAUGCGUAGAUAUAUGGAAGAACACCAGUGGCGAAGGCGGCUCUCUGGUCUGCAACUGACGCUGAGGCUCGAAAGCAUGGGUAGCGAACAGGAUUAGAUACCCUUGGUAGUCCAUGCCGUAAACGAUGAGCG